AUAGCGUAUAUUAAAGUUGUUGCAGUUAAAAAGCUCGUAGUUGGAUUUCGGGCGGGUGCUGCCGGUCCGCCCUUUGGGUGUGCACCGGUUGCGCCCGUCCUGCUGCCGGGGACGGGUGCCUGGGCUUCACUGUCCGGGUCCUGGAGUCGGUGAGGUUACUUUGAGUAAAUUAGAGUGUUCAAAGCAGGCCUACGCUCUGAAUACAUUAGCAUGGAAUAACACGAUAGGACUCUGGCCUAUCCCGUUGGUCUGUGGGACCGGAGUAAUGAUUAAGAGGGACAGUCGGGGGCAUUCGUAUUUCAUUGUCAGAGGUGAAAUUCUUGGAUUUAUGAAAGACGAACUUCUG
rnacentral:rRNA from 1 species